rnacentral:tRNA from 1 species
ACCCAGCUGGCUCAGUGGGAAGAGUGUCGGACUCUUGAUCUCAGGGUUGUGAGUUCAAGCCCCACGUGGGUG